rnacentral:lncRNA from 1 species
UGACGUAGCGGACAACCUUGCUUGUGAGACCCAGGCAGUUUAUCUUAUCUAUUUUAUCCAUCUGAUAAUUAGUAUUUCUCCGCUUGUAGGUGACAUAGUGAACAACCUUGUUUGUCAGACCCAAGCAGCUUGUCUUAUCUAUUUUAUCCAUCUGAUAAUUAGUAUUUCUCCGCUUGUAGGUGACAUAGUGAACAACCUUGUUUGUCAGACCCACGCAGCUUGUCUUAUCUAUUUUAUCCAUCUCACAAUUGGUUUUUCUCCGCUUGUAGGUGACAUGGUGAACAACCUUGUUUGUCAGACCCAGGCAGCUUGUCUUACCUAUUUCAACCAUCUCACAGUGAAGCUUUCUCCGCUUGUAGGUGACAUAGUGAACAACCUUGUUUGUCAGACCCAGGCAGCUUGUCUUACCUAUUUCAUCCAUCUCACAAUUAAGCUUUCUCCGCUUGUAGGUGACAUAGUGAACAACCUUGUUUGUGAGACCCAGGCUUCGUGUCUUACGUAUUCCAUUCAACGUACAACUAGUUUUUCUCCGCUUGUAG